GCGGCAUGAAACAGAGAAAGAGAAAUAUGGAUAAAGCUUCGUUCGUACUUUUCUAUAUAGGUCAUGGCUACCUCUUUUCGAGCACAAUGAACAAAACGAUACGGGAAUGUGACAAAGGAAAGAUACGAUGAGAAAAAUCCUAAACCUAUAUAUAUAUUCAUAUAUACGUAUGUAACAAUAUAUUAUACGUGUCUCUACGUCGGAUCUUUGAAGUCAAACAAAAUUACUCUUUCGAAGGAAGUUGAUGGAAUCGAUGGGCCAAGAAGACACGCGCGCACCUGACGUAUCGAUUGAGUUCAAAGUAA
rnacentral:lncRNA from 1 species